ACUGCUCAGUAACACGUGGACAACCUACCCUUAGGCCUGGGAUAAACCUGGGAAACUGGGUAUAAUACCGGAUAAGUCUCGAAUGCUGGAAUGCAUCGAGUCCGAAAGCUCCGGCGCCUAAGGAUGGGUCUGCGGCCUAUCAGGGUAGUAGUGGGUGUAAUGUACCUACUAGCCUACGACGGGUACGGGUCGUGAGAACGAGAGCCCGGAGAUGGAUUCUGAGACACGAAUCCAGGCCCUACGGGGUGCAGCAGGCGCGAAAACUUUACAAUGCUGGAAACAGCGAUAGGGGGACUUUGAGUGCCAGGAUACAAUUCUGGCUGUCGUGAUGCCUAAAAAGUAUUGCAUAGCAAGGGCCGGGCAAGACCGGUGCCAGCCGCCGCGGUAACACCGGCGGCUCGAGUGGUAACCGCUGUUAUUGGGUCUAAAGGGUCUGUAGCCGGCUGAAAAAGUCUCUUGGGAAAUCCGACAGCUCAACUGUCGGGCUUCCAGGGGAUACUCUUCGGCUCGAGACCGGGAGAGGUGAGAGGUACUUCAUGGGUAGGGGUGAAAUCUUGUAAUCCUUGAAGGACCACCAGUGGCGAAGGCGUCUCACCAGAACGGAUCUGACGGCAAGGGACGAAAGCUAGGGGCACGAACCGGAUUAGAUACCCGGGUAGUCCUAGCCGUAAACGAUACUCGCUAGGUGUCGGCCACGGUGCGACCGUGGUCGGUGCCGUAGGGAAGCCGUGAAGCGAGCCACCUGGGAAGUACGGCCGCAAGGCUGAAACUUAAAGGAAUUGGCGGGGGAGCAC
rnacentral:rRNA from 1 species